UACGUAGGGUGCGAGCGUUAAUCGGAAUUACUGGGCGUAAAGUGUGCGCAGGCGGUUGAGCAAGUCGAGUGUGAAAGCCCCGGGCUUAACUUGGGAAUUGCGCUCGAAACUACUUGACUGGAGUGUGGCAGAGGAAGGUGGAAUUCCACGUGUAGCGGUGAAAUGCGUAGAGAUGUGGAGGAACACCAGUGGCGAAGGCGACUCUUUGGCCUGUAACUGACGCUGAGGCGCGAAAGCGCGGGGAGCAAACAGG
rnacentral:rRNA from 1 species